UCGGUAGUGCUCAUACCACUGUCCGUCGUUAUACUACUUCGUCAAGUAAUAGUAUUUGGUUUCUAGUUGGAUUAUCGAUCUUUGCAAGUGAUUGAUUUACCCAUAAUCCUCCUUUUGACGUCGACAUUUAGGAAAAACAGACGCAUUUUUAGCCAUAGAUUUAUCUUCUAAAAAAUCGACACCAAUCUGACACAUAAGUUGUUAAAAACCUUAAUUUUUUAAAAACUGUUUCAAAUAAUUUUUAUCAAGGAUUUAAUUGUCGUUUAUUUUGACUCGAUGGAUACAAUUGUUGAAGGGUUAUGGCAAAAUUAUGAUUCUUAGCAGACGGCAUGGUCAGGUUUUGUCGUCAUUCCGAGAAGAAAAUAGAUUACUUUUUCAUCGAAUUAUUUCUAAAUUCUAUUUCCGAUAUGCAAUUUUGACAAUUUGAAUUUAGUUUAAAUUUAGAGCAAACUUCUAAAUCUAAAUUUAGCAAUAUUUUUGGUUGAUUAGAGAUGCACGUUAAAAUAUUAAGAUGGCUGGAUUAUUGAUUACUAAAUAAAAAAUAGUGUUUGUUUUACGAUGGAUAGGCCAUUUGCAAAUCUUAUAUUCAUUUUUUCCCUCGUGCUUUGAGACACGAUCGGCCACAGCAGAAUCAGCAGAUGUAAUGGGUUUUUUUUAACGUUUUUUCGUUGUUUUUGUUUGUUUGUUUUGCAUUGUUUUAAUUCUUACAUAAUUUAUCAUAGCAUGUCUUUU
rnacentral:lncRNA from 1 species